AUCUAAAUAAUUUAAAAAAAAAUAUUGAUUUGUGGAAUCAAAAAUAUGAAAAAUAUCAUUUUAGAUC
rnacentral:tRNA from 1 species